UUAUACACAUGGCUAAAAGAAAGAACACCUUUUCUCCGAGGCUCAAAUCAAGGUUCUAAGGAAUAUUUCGAUAAAAAGGUCGGCUUGAAAGGCUCAAACGGUUCAAAGAAGGCCCAAAUCAUAUCCCAAAUCACUCACUACUCAAUACUUCGUAUCAUAAAUUUCCUAAGGUGAGUCUUAAAACCGAACAUAACAUGAUCUAGCACAAAUUAAUUCCAAAUUUAAAAUACAAAACAUUCAACCAAAGCAAUGCACAAAGUGUGAUUCCUAGCAAUAAUUCGCUUCUAAGUCCCGUUGAAUCGAAAGCUAAACAAACAU
rnacentral:lncRNA from 1 species